rnacentral:lncRNA from 1 species
GACCCGGCCGGUGCCACGGCCGUAGGGGGCCGGCGCGGGGGGNCCGGCGCGGGGGGGGGUGCCGCCGGGUCCCCGGGGGCCGGUGGAGGUGGAGGGGCACCCCGACGUCACGGUCACGGCUACGACGCCCGUCCCCCACGGCUUCCCCGCCUGCUCGCCCCGAACUCCGGAGCAGACGUCGCGGCUUCCUUUCGCGUCCCCGCGGGACCCCCGCGGCGCCGGAGGCGGCAGCAUCCGGGCCUUCCCGGGGCCGGCGCGCCGAGCCCGGCCCCAGCGCCCGCGCGGUUGACCGUGAACGCCCCCCGAGUCGGGGCGCGGCCCCCGGGCGGCCGAGAGCUCCGCCUCGUCUCAGGGGCCCGCUGCGCUUCCCGCCUCCUCCUUCUUUGGUCGCCGGCACCCCUGCGUCCCGGUGCUCCGGGCACAGAGUCGCAGGAGCUGAGAGCUGCGGCCUAAGGUGGCGUCAGACUCCUCCUAGUCAGGGCCUCGGCCGGCCGGCCCGCCCGGGAACCCCCCCGGCCCCAACCCGGCGUGCUGGACAGGACCUUUCCCCCCAGGAGAGAAUGCAGAUAAGGAACUGGAGAGGGCUGAGAUGUUAA